rnacentral:rRNA from 1 species
UACGUAGGUGGCAAGCGUUGUUCGGAAUUAUUGGGCGUAAAGGGCGCGUAGGCGGUUUGCUAAGUCAGUUGUGAAAGCCCGGGGCUCAACCCCGGAGGGUCGGCUGAUACUGGUGGACUAGAGUACGGAAGAGGUAGCUGGAAUUCCCGGUGUAGCGGUGAAAUGCGCAGAUAUCAGGAGGAACACCAAUUGCGAAGGCAGCUCGCUGGGACGUUACUGACGCUGAGACGCGAAAGCGUGGGGAGCAAACAGG